rnacentral:sRNA from 1 species
AAGCGUAGAAAUAAAGGAGUGCGCCGGUAUGCAUUGCUUUAUGGAGCUUUCAGGAAUGGUUGAGCAGUGAAACCUCAAACCGGCUCAGGCAGAGUAAACGGUAGAUAGUGCGUACC